UGAGGAAUUUUGCGCAAUGGGGGAAACCCUGACGCAGCAACGCCGCGUGAGUGAAGAAGGCCUUCGGGUCGUAAAGCUCUGUCAAGUGGAAAAAACGAUUUACGGUAAAUAGCCGUAAAUUUUGAUGGUACAACUAGAGGAAGCACCGGCUAACUCUGUGCCAGCAGCCGCGGUAAGACAGAGGCCUCAAGCGUUAGGCGGAAUCACUGGGCUUAAAGCGUGUGUAGGCGGGUCGCUAAGUACCUUGUGAAAUCCCACCGCUCAACGGUGGAACGGCUGGGUAUACUGGCGACCUUGGGCCACUCAGGGGCAACUGGAACAAGCGGUGGAGCGGUGAAAUGCGUAGAUAUCGCUUGGAACGCCGAAGGUGAAGACAGGUUGCUGGGGGUGUGCCGACGCUGAGACACGAAAGCCAGGGGAGCAAACG
rnacentral:rRNA from 1 species